AUAUAUAUAUAUAGCAGGACUGCUGUGCUCUAAGGAGCACGGAGGCCUCCGUGCUCCUGAGUUGUUUUCGAUGAUGGAAUUUCUGAAUCGACGAUCGGCUUCGUAAGACUUGAUCCAGCAUAUUUGAAGUUUUUAGAAAAUAAUUUUUGCGAUUUUUCGAUAUCAUUUACCUAACAAUCGAAAGGAUUCAAAAUUAAUAAUUUUUAAUCGCUGAAAAUAAAAGUCCUAUAAAAAGUGGUGAUAUAGCACUAAAAUUUUCGAUCAGAUAUAUUGAUCUUGCUAUAGAUAGUAUAAAGAAUUUUGUAUCAAAAUUUUAUCUGAUUUGAAUACUUUUACAUCGUUAAACUUGAAAACGGCAUAUAUCAACCAUUAAAAAUUAUUGAUUUUGAAUCCUUUCGAUCACUAGGUAAAUGAUAUUAAAAAGUCGCAAAAAUUAUUUUCUGAAAACUUCAAAUACCCUAGAUCAAGUCUAACGGAGCCGAUCGUCAAUUCAAAAAUUUCAUCAUCGAAAAUGGCUCAGGAGCACGGAGACCUCCGUCCUCCUGAGAGCACAGCAGCCCUGCUCUCUCUCUCUCUCUCUCUCUAUAUAUAUAUAGUAGGGCUACUACACUCUUAUGAGUAUUGGACCCUUCGUACUCAUAAGUUGUUUUCGAUGAUGGGGCUUCCGAAUCGACGAUCCAUUCCGUUAAAUAUGAUCUAGAGUAUUUGAAACUUCUAAAAAAUAAAUUUUGUAAUUUUUCGAAAUCAUAAUAAAGUCCAUCAAACGGGCAUAAAAUGAACGGUCAAAAUCGAACGGCGUUCUAAAAAUGGAUGAUUGGAUCCUUUAAUUUAAGAUCGGAGUUAUUGAUCUUUAUCUAGGUAGUGAAUAAAAUUUUCUAUCAAAAAUUCAACCUAUUUCAAUUCUUUUAUACCGUUAAACUAGCAAGUAUCUUAUACCGACCGUUAAAAAUUGUCAAUUUUGUGAGCUUUUGAUCGUAAGGUAAAUAAUGUCAAAAAAUUAUGAAAUUUGAUUUCUAGAAGUUUUAAAUGCUCUAGAUAAUGUUUAACAGUAUGGAUCGUCGAUUUGGAAGCACUAUCAUCGAAAACAACUUAUGAGUACGAGGGCGAUCGUACUCAUAAUAGUAUAGUAGCCGGACUCUAUAAUAAUAAUAAUAAUAAUAAUAAUAAUAAUAUUUAGGGAUAAUUGUCUAUAAACCCUUCAAAAACAUUCGAAAUAUGAAAAUCGAAAACUUUUCAAGGGUAAAUUAGAAAAAAGGUAUUCAAAUCGAAAACUUUUCAAGGAGAGAGAGAGAGAGAGAGAGAGAGAGAGAGAGUUGGGCUGGAAUACUAUUGAUAGUAUUUGUUCCCUUUUGCUAUCAAGUUUUUAAUCAUUGGAUAAGAAAUUGCAGGGUUAGGCUGGUAUACUAUUGGUAGCACGGAGGCCUCCGUGCUACCAAGUUGUUUUCAGUGAUGCGGCUUCCAAAUCGAUGAUCGGCUCCGUUAGAGUUGAUCUACACUAUUGAAAGUAUUUGGAAACUAAAUUUCAUAAUUUUUCGGCAUCAUUUACUUGUCAAACGAGUAGUCUAAAUAUGAACGACUGAAAAUAAAAAUCUCAUAAAAGAUAAUGAUAAAAGACUUGAAUUUAAGAUCAGAGGUACUGAUCUUACUUUAAAGAGUGAAAAUAAUUUUCUAUAAAAAUUUUAUCAGAUUUGAAUUGUUUUACACCGUUAAAUUUACAAACGCAUCAAAUCUAUCAUUAAAAUUGUCAAUUUUGAGACCUUGAUAACUAGGUAAAUGAUGUCGAAAAAGUAUGAAAUUUAGUUUCUAAAUAUUUUUAAUAGUGUAGAUCAAGUCUAAUAGAGCCGAUCGUCGAUUUGGAAGUUGUAUCAUUAAAAACAACUUGGUAGUACGGAAGCCUCCGUGCUACCUAUAUAUAUAU
rnacentral:lncRNA from 1 species